CCUACGGGAGGCUGCAGUGAGGAAUAUUGGUCAAUGGACGAGAGUCUGAACCAGCCAAGUAGCGUGAAGGAUGACUGCCCUAUGGGUUGUAAACUUCUUUUAUAUGGGAAUAAAAUGUUCCACGUGUGGGAUUUUGUAUGUACCAUAUGAAUAAGGAUCGGCUAACUCCGUGCCAGCAGCCGCGGUAAUACGGAGGAUCCGAGCGUUAUCCGGAUUUAUUGGGUUUAAAGGGAGCGUAGGUGGAUUGUUAAGUCAGUUGUGAAAGUUUGCGGCUCAACCGUAGAAUUGCAGUUGAAACUGGCAGUCUUGAGUACAGUAGAGGUGGGCGGAAUUCGUGGUGUAGCGGUGAAAUGCUUAGAUAUCACGAAGAACUCCGAUUGCGAAGGCAGUUCACUGGACUGCAACUGACACUGAGGCUCGAAAGUGUGGGUAUCAAACAGGAUUAGAUACCCUUGUAGUC
rnacentral:rRNA from 1 species